rnacentral:rRNA from 1 species
UGGGCCUUGUCUGGUCCCACUGGAACGGUGGCUAAUACCGGAUGUGCCUAUGGGUGAAAGGUUAACUGCCUGGAGAUGAGCUCGCGUCUGAUUAGCUAGUUGGUGGUGUAAGAGACUACCAAGGCGACGAUCAGUAGCUGGUCUGAGAGGAUGAUCAGCCACACUGGAACUGAGACACGGUCCAGACUCCUACGGGAGGCAGCAGUGGGGAAUUUUCCGCAAUGGGCGAAAGCCUGACGGAGCAAUACCGCGUGAGGGAGGAAGGCUCUUGGGUUGUAAACCUCUUUUCUCAAGGAAGAAUGAUGACGGUACUUGAGGAAUCAGCAUCGGCUAACUCCGUGCCAGCAGCCGCGGUAAUACGGAGGAUGCAAGCGUUAUCCGGAAUGAUUGGGCGUAAAGCGUCCGUAGG